GUCUCGGUGGCGCAAUUGGUAAGCGUGAUCCCAGACAAUUUUCAAUCGUGAGGUUGAGAGUUCGAUCCUCUCCCGGGACG